CGCUUUCCCACGCAAUUCAAAAGUUUAUGGCACGAGCGAUCCACAUGGAUUUAAACUCGCAACUUGCGAGGCUCAUCUUGUGCGAGGGAAGGCCGAUUGGAACGCGAGACAGUGAGGCAACCGCCUUCCGCUUCUUCAAAACUUUCUUGACACCUCUCUCUUCAAUUGGGUUGCCUCAUCGAGAAGGCUUGUCAGAUGUUUCUUUUUCCGUGAUUGGGUGGUUAAUGAUGUUGAUGACGACGACGACGAGUUGAUGAGUUGAUGAUCAAAUCACUCCGUUCACAACUAUCGUAAACAAGCUAUUGGAUAUUGAUUUUCAUCCAAACUUGAAGUAUUGCUUCAGACAUGUUCGACACUUCAAGGACUUCCCUUGGGCACCAAUUUCUGGACACACAUGGUGGACAGACUCGUUCUCUGGUUCUUCGGGUUGGAAUCGAAGAACAACUCCAUCUGAAUACUAGGUGUAAAAACCUCUCACCUCAAGAUAGGGUCAGUUUUAACCUCAGGCUGCGAGAUGACAAAGGUGUGUUGUGUACCUGAAAAAGAUUGUGACUCCUUUGCCUUUGAAUUUGGAAUGCAGCCCAAUAUCCCGUCAACUUUCAACAUUCAUUUCCAUUCCGGGGAAUGGCGUGAAAAGGCCACAAGCUCCUUUGGGAAUGUGGAGACGACGCUAACUCGCUUAGCCAAUAGGUUCAAGCAAAUCUUGAAAUUCGAUUCCCAAGAUGAUGACGGUGAGAUGGAAGAGAGACUGCCAGGGCGGGCCCAUGCAAUGGUCACUUCCUCCAACCCCUCCAUCCACAAACCUUGGAAGCCCAAGUGGAAACAAAAGGGACAAGACGAAUUGGGCCGCAAUCCCCAGCCCUCCCCUUACCCAACGUGCUUGUUCACUCUCAAUUCUUCCUCGUACGAAGAUGAAAAGUCCUCGCUGUCUUUUUCUCAAACCUCGUUUUCCUCCUCCACUUCGUCCUCCUCAUCUUGGUCCUCAUCUUCCUACGAAGAACCAGGAUCGUUCCCCUCAUCCAACUCUUCGUCCACCGAGACCCCUCCGUGUAAUCUUCAUCAAAAGCGAUCCAUACGGGCUCCUCGCAUCGGACAACUCCCAAGACGAAGUGCCUUUGAUGAUGCUGAUGAUAGUCAUGAUGUAAUCCAGAGUCGGUCGGAUGCUAUCAAGCCAAAUAUUGACCUUCGGAAUAAAGCUCCCGAGCUCCGUGAUGCGGAUCGUCGCUCGAGACCCAAUCAUGUGGAGCAACAACAACCACAACAACUGAAGCCAGCUCCACAAUGUAGAGCUUCAGCAACUCUGCCACAUAAAGGACCUGACCGUCUGGCAAAUAAUGAGCGGGGGUCCCUCUCCGGUCCUUCAAAAGCACAAUCCACCUCAUCAGUGUCGUCCAUUAGUGGAAUUGGUGGCGAGAGCACAGCAAUUGGAACCAUGGCAUCGUCACAAGAAUCGAUCAGGCAACUCCAGAAAGGAACCUCGAACGAGAGGACCGCUGGCAAUUUCGCUCAAACCUCAAAAACCUCGACACUCUCGAAUUUCGCUUCGGUCAUUGAGAGCACAAAAACCUUGAGCAUAAACGAUGAGCGUCAACGGAGUCCCACCAAGACGCCCCAGCCUUUAGGGUUCGUUCCCACUCCGGGUCGCAAUCGGGCCCAUCCCGGUGCCAACGCUCCAUCCAUCCCCUCCCCUGACGACGAGGACAUGGUCAAGAUCAAUCCCAGAAAAGUGCCAAUCCCUGCGAAAUGCUCCUCUCAACUUCGACGCCUUAUUCACUCACACAGCUUAUGUCAGCCGCCCGUUCCCAAUCCCGCUCCACCUCCUCCGGCUCAAUCCCUCGUUCCCAUGCCCCACAGUCCCAGUUUACCUGGGAAGCGAGCGAACGACGCGAUUCGGCCCAUUUUCCCACAGUUGCCUUAUUCUCCGUACGCGAGUCCGAAUUCCUCGCCCCGCGUCAAGCGUAAACCCCUUCGUGAAACCACUCGGGUCAAUUCCAUCACGGAGUCCACCGGAGAGUUUGUGCAACUCAAUCAGUACAAACUUCACGAGUCUCUUGGUCAAGGUUCUUACGGUAUUGUCAAGUUGGCCUACAACAAAGAGGACAACUCGCACUAUGCCAUGAAGAUUCUGUCCAAAAAGAAGCUGAAGCGCCAAGGAGGACUCUUUUCCCGUGGCAUUCCCAAUCGGAAAGCUCCGGGAGGCGGCUCAAGGAAGAUGGCUGAGGGCCCCUUGCAGAAAGUGUAUCGGGAGAUUGCCAUCAUGAAGAAGCUGGAUCACCCCAACGUGGUCAAACUGGUGGAAGUGUUGGAUGAUCCCGAGGACGAGAAUCUAUAUAUGGUGUUUGAGUUUCUCAAGGGUGGUGAAGUGCUGGAAAUACCGACCGAUCGACCCUUGGAUGAAAAAGCCGCUUGGUUAGCUCUCAGAGAUGUGAUAUCUGGUCUGGAGUAUCUUCAUUAUCAGAAAAUUAUUCACCGUGAUGUUAAACCCAGUAAUCUGCUGCGAACCACAGAUGGAGUGGUCAAAAUUGCAGAUUUAGGAGUUAGCAAUGAGUUCAAUGGACAAGAUGAUGCGUUCCUGACGAAUUCUGCCGGCACACCGGCUUUUACGCCUCCGGAAAGCUUAUCCCAUAAGCCCGGAGAUGAUCCAUAUUCGGGAAGGAGGGCUGAUAUUUGGUCUUUGGGAGUGACUUUGUAUUGUCUGGUGAUUGGAAAGGUCCCAUUCCACGACAAUAACAUUCUUGGUGUUCAUCACAAAAUCAAAACGCAGCCCCUCUCGUUCCCCGAGAACUGCGACAUUUCGCCAGAACUGAAGGACCUAGUUGGGAAAAUGCUCAAAAAAGAUCCCAAUGAAAGAGCUAGUCUCCAAGAAAUAAAGGUCCAUGAUUGGGUCACUGGCUUUGGGCUCUAUCCUUUGCCCACAGAGGAAGAGAAUUGCGAGUUGGUCGAAAUCACGGACAUGGAUGUGGACAAUUCAGUGCGAACCGUACCUAAACUGGACACAUUGAUCUUGGUCAAAUCCAUGCUAAAGAAUCAUUCAUUCUUGAAUCCCUUUCACAAUUUGCGAACUCGCUUGGGUGUCAAUGGAAGAUCCAAUUCGGCGCCCGAGGUCACUUUCUUCGACGAUAGUGAUAGUGAUAACGAUUUUGUAAUCGAUUAACGCACUCCAAAAAAACCGUGGCCCACUCAUCCGGCAUAUUCCCGUCCCCAUACGUGAUCUAUUUUUCUUUAUCAUUGUUUAAAAAAUGAAUUUGGAAACGGUUCGUGAGGACAAAAAAAAUCGGCCGUAUUCUGAACGAACAUAAAAAGUGCCCCCUGGAAGUGUUCAGUAUGAAACUAGAGGUCACCAUGCCAAUGGUAUCGGAAGAAAAACACGAUCCAAGUGAGACUUAAUUCGUGGUUCUCGUGUAGACUCAGUCCUGAUCUAAACCUUGCUAUUUCUUCCUCUACAUCGUCUACUCCUUCAUUCUUGCACCAUCCAUAUGCUUAUUAUAUCCCCUCCCACCCAGCCACGCGGCCCCGCCUCUCUUCCCCCGCUCUCAAUCUUACAAGAUUAACUGACAGGCAUACAUAGAGUAUGCUUGAAUUCUUCGCCGGUAAUUCCUAAAGCACAAUUUCCCCGUCAAAGUCUCAAAGAUUGAUUAUAUCUUAGCACAACUGUCGAAACCUGAACGUGAAACAACCUCAAAGAAGUCGAAUUGGCUCAACUCUGGUGAACAAAUGGCCAAAUUUAGGCAAAAUCAUUAAAAGAUCUGAUGAACGAACUAGUCUCGUUUUUCGCUUUUCCGACAUACGAGGGUUGUCCAUUUUCUGAGAUACAUCCCACUAUAUCUUUGUCAUGCUUGAAUUUCCAAAUAACUUCCAAGUUAUGGACCCCUAUCACACAAGCUAAGCAAGGCAUUUCCCAUUUUAGCAUUUCUACCUUAUUCAUCUAAUUCUUGUAUUUAUUUCCAAUUUCGCUUGACAUUCUAUUUAACUCCAGACAUCUCAUCCAUUCAUUCAUUAAAAACUGUAUAUUUUAAUCUAA